rnacentral:rRNA from 1 species
CUACGGGUGGCUCCAGUCGAGAAUCAUCCGCAAUGGGCGAAAGCCUGACGGUGCGACGCCGCGUGGAGGAUGAAGGCCCUCGGGUUGUAAACUCCUGUCACGUGACGAGAAAGGUAAGCGGUCAAUACCCGCUUGCUUGACAACUCAUGAGAGGAAGUCACGGCUAACUCUGUGCCAGCAGCCGCGGUAAUACAGAGGUGGCUAGCGUUGUUCGGAAUCACUGGGCAUAAAGGGCGCGUAGGCGGUUAGGCAAGUCGGUUGUGAAAGCCCUCGGCUCAACCGAGGAACUGCAUCCGAUACUGCUUGACUAGAGUGCGGGAGGGGAGAGUGGAACUCCUGGUGGAGCGGUGAAAUGCGUAGAUAUCAGGAGGAACGCCGGUGGCGAAAGCGACUCUCUGGUCCGCUACUGACGCUGAGGCGCGAAAGCCAGGGGAGCGAACGGGAUUAGAUACCCCGGUAGUC